GACAGAGGGUGCAAACGUUGUUCGGAAUUACGUGGCGUAAAGCGUGUGUAGGCGGUGAGGUAAGUCGGAUGUGAAAGCCCAGGGCUCAACCCUGGAAGUGCACUCGAUACUGCUUCGCUUGAGUACUGGAGAGGUCGGUGGAAUUCUCGGUGUAGAGGUGAAAUUCGUAGAUAUCGAGAGGAACAUCUGUGGCGAAGGCGGCCGACUGGACAGUUCCUGACGCUGAGGCACGAAGGUCAGGGGAGCAAACGGG
rnacentral:rRNA from 1 species